GCGGGGCGUGGACCUGGGCUAGCAGCGGACUCCGGCGGGUCAAGAUGGCGCUGGCUGUGGGAAUGCGCGUCCUGACGCGUCCCCUGCACCGACCCUGGGCCCGGGGCUUCCGCGUGGCCCCCGGGCGGACAGGGCCGGCGGCCGGCGGCGGGGACGGCGUGCGCUGCUUUGGGAGCCCGCGGGUGCUGGUGGAGCCGGACCCGGCGGCAGGGGUCGCUGUGGUGAAGAUGAGGAACCCCCCAGUGAACAGCUUCAGCCUAGAGUUUCUGACCGAGCUGCUCAUCAGCCUGGAGAAACUGGAGAACGACAAGACCUUCCGUGGCAUCAUCCUCACGUCGGACCGCCCCGGGAUCUUCUCCGCCGGCCUGGACCUGACGGAGAUGUGCGGGAGGAAGCCCGAGCACUACGUGGAGUACUGGAAGGCUGUGCAGGAAAUGUGGCUUCGGUUCUACCUGUCCAACCUGGUGGUGAUUGCUGCUAUCAACGGCGUCAGCCCAGCUGGAGGCUGCCUGUUGUCCCUCACCUGUGACUACCGGGUCCUGGCUAACAACCCCAAGUACACCAUAGGGCUGAACGAGACUCGGCUGGGCAUUGUGGCCCCCUUCUGGUUCAAAGACACGAUGGUGAACACAGUCGGGCACCGCACCGCAGAGCGUGCCCUGCAGCUGGGCUUGCUCUUCCCGCCAGCAGAGGCCCUCCGGGUGGGCGUGGUGGACCAGGUUGUGCCUGAAGACCAGGUGCAGAGCACGGCGCAGUCGGUGAUGGCCCAGUGGCUGGCCAUUCCAGUCUGCAGGCCAGGAGUCCAAAAUCAAGGUUUGGGCAGAGCCGUGCUCUCUCCAGAGGCUCUAGGGGAGGCUCCUUCCUGCCUCAUCCAGCCUUUGGCGGCUCCAGACGAUCCUUGGCCUCUAGAUGCUUCGCGCCAGUCUUUCCCUCCACGUGGCCUCCCUGCGUGUCUGUGUUUCCAGGCUCCCGUCUUCCUUUCUCUGGUCAGGACACUCGUUGGAUUUGGGGUCUACCCUAAAUCCAAGAGGAUCUCAUCCUAACUUCAUCCGCAGAAACCCUUUUCCAAAUAAGGCCACAUGCAGAUUCUAAGGCUGUGGUUAGGUCCACUCCCAACCCACCGCACAGACUAUUAUCUGUUUAUAGAAAUUGGGCUGCUUAUAUCUACUCUGAUGGAGACCAGGGAUCAGCGGACUGUCUCUCAAGAGCCAGGGAGAUGGUCAGCCUUGUGGGUCACUUGGUCUCGGCCACACGGUGGCGCUGGAGCAUGAGGGCAGCCAGAGCAUUUGUGACCCAACCACGCCCGACAGCUGACCAAGACCCUAAUGCGCAAGCCCACAGCUGACCGCCUGCUCACAGAGCGCGAUGCGGACAUCCAGGCUUUUGUCCGCUUCAUCUGCAGAGACUCCAUCCAGAAGUCUCUGCAUGCGUAC